rnacentral:lncRNA from 1 species
AACCACUACAAACAACGCAGGGAAACUUUACAAAAGCCUCUUACUUUUAAAACUGUUAAGGAAUUCAUUGGGUUUUUCGAAAUGUUUUCAUUUAUUUUAUAGGUAUAAACAUUAAAGCUGUUAUUACAUUUCUCUUUCAAAUAUACAGGUAUAUAUAACAUGUAAUACUAAAAUUUGUUUAACUUAUAAAAAAGGUUAAAAACCUUACAAUAAAACAAGGAAACAAAAAGACAUAACACAAGAUCUGUCCUCCACAGAAGAAAAUGCUCGCAUUUCCUCUCCUUUCUCCAUUAAUGCUGCAUUAGUGCGGUGUAGGCAGAGACGUGCUUCCGCCAGGAAAAACCUCAUUAGUCUCUGGAAGAAUCACUGCCCGCCUGUCUCAUUGUCUCCCCAGCCAUUGCAAGCACAGUCCUUAAGGUGUUAUGCUCCCUGGGGAAUCUGAAUCCACUUACAUGCUCCCCUGUGGGCUGCGGCACUUAACUUCCCUUGUCCUCAAGUUUGGUUAAUGGGCUGGGAAGCGUUGACUGACACUGCUCCAAGGCCAGCAGACAUGAGGCACUGCAAGUUCUGCUCUCAAAGGGGCUUGGAGGGAAGGAGUUGGAAAAAAGGAAUCAUGAAGCAUGAGAUUCACAGGUUCCUUAAUUCAUUCUCUAGUUUUCUCCCAAUGUGCUUGUAGUGACAGAAAAACUCAACUCGUCUCACAACUCAGAGGUACAAUGAAAAGGAGUUUUUUCCUCUGUGAUUGGAACUUUCUCUUGAGCCCUUUCCCUUAGGGGAUACUAGGAGACAAUUACAUCUCUAAUUCAACCUAAGUUUAUUCCCUUUUAGUGGGGUUCAAUUUCUGUUAGCCAAAAGUGCUCAGUCCCUCAAACAGCUUAUCUUUUGUUGUUUCUCUAAGAUUGUGUAGAAUUUGGAAAGGGUAUAGCUUAUUUGACCUUAUGGCUUUGUGCGGAAGCCGGGGUCCCCAGUAGAUCUCCUGGCUUCUGGAUAAUGUUUCUUUGCUGCUGGGUUGCUAGGUGCCUCAUUGGCCUCCACUGCCAACUUCUGGGUGGUUAUUACUUAGGGUUGUGACUAUUGCUUGGGCAAUGCACCUGCAGGUGCUUUCUGGGCAAUUCCAUUUCAUCCGGCUCUUGAUGGCAACAUCAGCACCUUGGGGACACUCUGCGAUAUGUGUUUUGCUUCUGUUUUUUGUCCCGGAUUUUCUGCAGGGUCCCCUGUCUCAAUAAGGAAAACUCCUUCUAUCAGUUUAUCCAGGGUAGGCAGGCAGGUACUUCUAG